GGGCAUACAGGCUACGCUAUGUAGUCACAUAUAACCGAACGCUUAUAAAGCUCACGGGCUGGCAUACGUACGAUCAAGGACAGAAGAAAAGAUCACAUAAAGGGGAACCCCGAUCCAUUCAUCAUUUCUCUUUGUAACGGAAGCUGGCUAGGUUCCUAUCGCUGCCUACGUUAGCCCUACGCUAUUUGCGACCAGACAGACGGAUCGUAUCAUCUUCAUCCAGCACUGAAACGGUUAACCUGAGGGUUCUGACCUAUCCACUGCCGGGCACAGAUCGGUGUAUCCUGUGGACUACUUCUGUAGACUCUGUCGAUGAUCAGCGUUUUUUCCCCUGUUCUGUUUAAUGUUAAUAAAAUGGUUAACGAGGGCUUUUGGGGGAGUGUUUUUU